UACGUAGGGACCAAGCGUUGUCCGGAAUCAUUGGGCGUAAAGAGCGUGUAGGCGGCUUGUUAAGUCUUGCGUGAAAUCUCGGGGGCUCAACCCCGAGCGGUCGUGAGAAACUGGCAGGCUAGAGUGCGGGAGAGGAGAGUGGAAUUCCUGGUGUAGCGGUGAAAUGCGCAGAUAUCAGGAGGAACACCAGUGGCGAAGGCGGCACUCUGGGCCGGUACUGACGCUGAGGAGCGAAAGCGUGGGGAGCGAACAGG
rnacentral:rRNA from 1 species